rnacentral:rRNA from 1 species
UCUGGGAAACUGCCUGAUGGAGGGGGAUAACUACUGGAAACGGUGGCUAAUACCGCAUAACGUCGCAAGACCAAAGAGGGGGACCUUCGGGCCUCUUGCCAUCAGAUGUGCCCAGAUGGGAUUAGCUAGUUGGUGAGGUAACGGCUCACCAAGGCGACGAUCCCUAGCUGGUCUGAGAGGAUGACCAGCCACACUGGAACUGAGACACGGUCCAGACUCCUACGGGAGGCAGCAGUGGGGAAUAUUGCACAAUGGGCGCAAGCCUGAUGCAGCCAUGCCGC